CUUGUUCUUUAGAGGAAGUAAAAGUCGUAACAAGGUCUCCGUAGGUGAACCUGCGGAGGGAUCAUUACACAAUAAAAUACGAAGGCCGUUCGCGGCUGGACUAUUUAUUACCCUUGUCUUUUGCGCACUUGUUGUUUCCUGGGCGGGUUCGCUCGCCACCAGGACCACAAUAUAAACCUUUUUUAUGCAGUUGCAAUCAGCGUCAGUAUAACAAAUGUAAAUCAUUUACAACUUUCAACAACGGAUCUCUUGGUUCUGGCAUCGAUGAAGAACGCAGCGAAAUGCGAUACGUAGUGUGAAUUGCAGAAUUCAGUGAAUCAUCGAAUCUUUGAACGCACAUUGCGCCCUUUGGUAUUCCAAAGGGCAUGCCUGUUCGAGCGUCAUUUGUACCCUCAAGCUUUGCUUGGUGUUGGGCGUUUUUGUCUUUGGCCCGCCAAAGACUCGCCUUAAAAUGAUUGGCAGCCGGCCUACUGGUUUCGCAGCGCAGCACAUUUUUGCGCUUGCAAUCAGCAAAAGAGGACGGCAAUCCAUCAAGACUCCUUCUCACGUUUGACCUCGGAUCAGGUAGGGAUACCCGCUGAACUUAAGCAUAUCAAUAAGCGGAGGA
rnacentral:rRNA from 1 species